UCUGGGUGAAGGAGAACAGUCGUGGUCCCAGGUCUGUUUGUCCUCUGGACAGUGUGCCCUGAGGGUCAAUCCCAGGCCACUCAGACUUCAGUGUGGCUGGAUGCAAAAGAAACUCUGUGGUGCCCGGUGGAGAGAGGAGACACCCUAGGCGCACUCCACCGGACACAACAUCCAUAGGAGGACGCAAGGACGCUCGCUGUCUGGGAGCCAACCAGACAAUGGAGAACAAAUGUCUGGGGCAGGAGCGGCUUCUGACCUCGGCUCACAGCGAAGUUGGGGAUCCAGUGUGACACAGAUGCUUUCCUCUCCCGCCCCCGUCCUGUUGUCCAGAAGCAGUUUUACUGAAACAAGUCAAGUCGACUUCCUUCCACUGCCUCCAGGUUCGCAUCCCAGAGCCCCUGGGAGCCCUUUCUCCGACAAAGGAUCCCUCCCAGCCUCCAGCUGUAACUUGGUAUCUGGAGCGAAAACAGCUGCGUCUGCUUAAAGCUGCUUUGGAGAGAACAAGAGAGUCUGUGUUUCCCACGUGUUGGGUGGUGCAACCGACAGCACCAGGGUCCGUCCAGCUCGGCCAGCUGACUGGGUGUUGCCUUACGUUGCACAUUGCUGCUCCUGCCACUAGCACCUGUAGGUCUCAUACCUACGAGAUGGGGGCGUUCAGAGGGCAGGGCACAGUCUCUGGGGAGGACUGACUGCCUUUGGUGACAACAGGAGACAGACACCCACUGAUCUCAGCCUUUGGCAUGUGGCGCUGGGGGACAGCGCGAGGUGGUCAAAUGAAUGGGCCGCCUGACGUUGUGUCUGUUUGCACCAGCAUCUCACCCGGGCAUCGAGUACAGCGUGGGGGGGGUGUUUGUGAAAUGAGAAGCAGGGUGACCAAGCCCAGCACACAGAGGCUUGACACCAGCUGCCGGCCGGCCACAGUGCAGCUGGGCCCUUCCUCCACACCAGGCACCCUUGUGAGACCUUCCUGGGCAUGACAGCCUGUCCCAUCCCCAUUUGACAGUUGAAGAAACUGAGGCACAGGAGAUUAUGCAGCUGCUAAGGAGAGGAGCCAGGGUGGAGACCCACACAGUCUGGCCCUGAAUGGCCUCCCCACCCCAAGCCACUGCUAUGGUGAAGAUGCUUACAUUGUUGUGCAAGGCAGGGACGCAGACACAAAGACACACCGUGCACACUGUGCCUGUCACCCUGUGUGCUCAUUUGUUCUCCAGGUGGGCCGUGCAGACGCCGGAAUGUCAGUGGGGGUGAGACUGGGGUCUUCUCGCUUUUCCAGACUUCCGCAGUGGACAGAUACUGCUUUGGUGAUCAGCAUCACUUUUCUAGCCAGAAGCUUGUAUUUGCAUUGUUCCCCUCUGUACAUGAAGAUGACUCUGUUCAUCUUCCUCCAGGGGACUGUGGGUCCCAGGUUGAUGCUGUGACAGUGGGGAGGAUGCCCCUCCCAGAGAGCCUGGCAUGGGUUGACACCCCCCCCCACCCCGCCAAAUGUGUGCAUGCACCUGGUCUUUCUGGUGGCUGUUUCUUUAAGGCAAGAACUUGCUCCAAGAGGAACCUCCCUGGACAAUAGUGGUUGCUGGGUGUGGCUGGGUUGGACGUCAGAGGAGAGUGUCAUCCAGAGCCCUGGGAUUCCAGGAGGGCACCCUGAAAACCUUUGUGAGAAUCUGACUGUGUGCCACCUGCCUGCCUCAUUUCUAAACGAAUUAAAGCUUCAGCCCUGGCUGGGGUGGCUCAGUGGAUUGAACACUGGCCUGGGAACCAAAG